rnacentral:rRNA from 1 species
CCUGGGGCAGAGCCGCGAACGGGUGAGUAACACGUGGGUAACCUGCCUCGAUGACCGGGACAACCCGAGGAAACCCGGGCUAAUACCGGAUGUGCUCCUUCACAUCAGUGAAGACAGGAAAGGAAGCUUCGGCCUCCGCAUCGAGAUGGGCCCGCGGCCCAUUAGCUUGUUGGUGAGGUAACGGCUCACCAAGGCUGCGAUGGGUAGCUGGUCUGAGAGGACGAUCAGCCACACUGGGACUGAGACACGGCCCAGACUCCUACGGGAGGCAGCAGUGGGGAAUCUUGCGCAAUGCGCGAAAGCGUGACGCAGCAACGCCGCGUGGGGGAAGACGGCUUUCGGGUUGUAAACCCCUUUCAGGAGGGACGAAGCCAGAGUGGUUAAUAGCCGACUCGGGUGACGGUACCUCCAGAAGAAGCCCCGGCUAACUACGUGCCAGCAGCCGCGGUAAUACGUAGGGGGCAAGCGUUGUCCGGAAUCAUUGGGCGUAAAGAGCGUGUAGGCGGUCCGAUAAGUCGGCUGUGAAAGUCCAGGGCUCAACCCUGGGAUGCCGGUCGAUACUGUCGGACUAGAGUCCGGAAGAGGCAAGUGGAAUUCCCGGUGUAGCGGUGAAAUGCGCAGAUAUCGGGAGGAACAC